rnacentral:rRNA from 1 species
AUUGAACGCUGGCGGCAGGCCUAACACAUGCAAGUCGAACGGUAACAGGAAGAAGCUUGCUUCUUUGCUGACGGGUGGCGGACGGGUGAGUAAUGUCUGGGAAACUGCCUGAUGGAGGGGGAUAACUACUGGAAACGGUAGCUAAUACCGCAUAACGUCGCAAGACCAAAGAGGGGGACCUUCGGGCCUCUUGCCAUCGGAUGUGCCCAGAUGGGAUUAGCUAGUAGGUGGGGUAACGGCUCACCUAGGCGACGAUCCCUAGCUGGUCUGAGAGGAUGACCAGCCACACUGGAACUGAGACACGGUCCAGACUCCUACGGGAGGCAGCAGUGGGGAAUAUUGCACAAUGGGCGCAAGCCUGAUGCAGCCAUGCCGCGUGUAUGAAGAAGGCCUUCGGGUUGUAAAGUACUUUCAGCGGGGAGGAAGGGAGUAAAGUUAAUACCUUUACUCAUUGACGUUACCCGCAGAAGAAGCACCGGCUAACUCCGUG